AGCAUGCGUAUGCCCACAAAGUUUUAGAUUAAAUAGAAAACGAACGAUAACUCUUUUGAAAACGUACGUGGCUGCACGAAAUGAAAAAACAAAACAAACAAGAACAAAUCAAAUAAUUACGAAAAUGUGAUCGUCUCGUGUGUGAUGUGUAUAGUGUAUUGUGUCGCGUUUCUCCAUCGGUUCUCCAUGCUCUCGACUCGAUGCUUUUUGGUUGGUAAAUGAAACUAAGAAUAGCUAAAUCUAAAUGCAAUGAUUAUAUGGGAGCUUAAAUAGACCAAAUAAUUUGAGGCCAGAGCUAUCCAGCAUCAUAAUCCAUCAUAACAACAAGAUGCAAGAUUUUCUUGUGCAGAGGUGUUGAAGCUGUCACCAGCAACAAUCUAGGGAUCAUCGCUUAUGGAUAAAAAGCAUCCCAUUACACUGGAAAACUAACGAUGUCCAUCGAGUUACGGAUCCCUCUUUUUCCCCUCUCUUUAAAUGUCCUCGUGUACGCCCAUGUGAAUGUGGGUGUAUUCACGAGGACAUCCUUUUUACCCUAUCCUGUCUGGUGCAAUUUAACUUUUCAGCAGAUGGAUGGAUGGAUGUCUGGCUGUAUUUCCCAGGCAUAAAGGUAGGACAAAAUUGAUGUCUAUUCUUCCUUUUUGUCAAUUUUUUUUGGCGUUGAUUAUAAGUCGUUAAGUAGUCACGUUGGGUAUGUUUAUUCCUGAGCUAGGCGGUUGACUGCUGCAACUGUUUUAUUUCUCCGUUUUGGUUUUUUUCUCAGUAAGGGUUCACUAAAAAAAUCUCUUUGU